GACGAACGCUGGCGGCGUGCUUAACACAUGCAAGUCGAACGGAGUGGCGAACGGGUGAGUAACACGUGGGUGACCCUCCCUGCACUUCGGGAUAAGCCUGGGAAACUGGGGCUAAUAACGGAGAGUGUGGGAUGGGCCCGCGGCCUAUCAGCUUGUUGGUGGGGUAAUGGCCUACCAAGGCGGCGACGGGUAGCCGGCCUGAGAGGGUGGACGGCCACAUUGGGACUGUGACACGGCCCAGACUGCUACGGUGGGCAGUAGUGGUGAGUCUUGCGCAAUGAGCGGAAGCGUGAUGCAGCGACGCCGCGUGGGGGAUGAUCGCCUUCGGGUUGUAAACUCCUUUCACCAUCGACGCGGUAGAUGGAGAAGAAGCACCGGCUAACUACGUGCCAGCAGCCGCGGUAAUUC
rnacentral:rRNA from 1 species